UCGGGAAUUUUGGGCAAUGGGCGCAAGCCUGACCCAGCAACGCCGCGUGAAGGAUGAAGCCUUUCGGGGUGUAAACUUCGUAAGAACAGGAAGAAUAAGCGAGUACGAAUAAUGCUCGUGAUGACGGUACUGUUUGUAAGCUCCGGCUAACUCCGUGCCAGCAGCCGCGGUAAUACGGGGGGAGCAAGCGUUGUUCGGAUUUACUGGGCGUAAAGGGCGCGUAGGCGGUUGAACAAGUCACUUGUGAAAUCCAUGAGCUUAACUCAUGGCGGUCAAGUGAUACUGUUUGACUAGAGUGCAGAAGGGGCAACUGGAAUUCUCGGUGUAGCGGUGAAAUGCGUAGAUAUCGAGAGGAACACCUGGGGCGAAGGCGGGUUGCUGGGCUGACACUGACGCUGAG
rnacentral:rRNA from 1 species